UACGAAGGGGGCUAGCGUUGCUCGGAAUCACUGGGCGUAAAGGGCGCGUAGGCGGAUCUUUAAGUCGGGGGUGAAAGCCUGGAGGCUCAACCUCAGAAUUGCCUUCGAUACUGGGGAUCUCGAGACCGGAAGAGGUGAGUGGAACUGCGAGUGUAGAGGUGAAAUUCGUAGAUAUUCGCAAGAACACCAGUGGCGAAGGCGGCUCACUGGUCCGGUUCUGACGCUGAGGCGCGAAAGCGUGGGGAGCAAACAGG
rnacentral:rRNA from 1 species